rnacentral:rRNA from 1 species
AAUCUGGCUCUUUCAGAGUCCGAGUUGUAAUUUGCAGAGGGCGCUUUGGUGUUGGCAGCGGUCCAAGUUCUUUGGAACAGGACGUCACAGAGGGUGAGAAUCCCGUACGUGGUCGCUAGCCUUCGCCGUGUAAAGCCCCUUCGACGAGUCGAGUUGUUUGGGAAUGCAGCUCUAAAUGGGAGGUAAAUUUCUUCUAAAGCUAAAUACUGGCCAGAGACCGAUAGCGCACAAGUAGAGUGAUCGAAAGAUGAAAAGCACUUUGGAAAGAGAGUCAAAUAGCACGUGAAAUUGUUGAAAGGGAAGCGCUUGCAGCCAGACUUGCCUGUAGUUGCUUAUCUAGACUUUUGUCUAGUGCACUCUUCUGCGGGCAGGCCAGCAUCAGUCUANGCGGUUGGAUAAAGGUCUCUGUCAUGUACCUCUCUUCGGGGAGGCCUUAUAGGGGAGACGACAUGCAACCAGCCUGGACUGAGGUCCGCGCAUCUGCUAGGAUGCUGGCGUANUGGCUGUAAGCGGC